AAGAUUUUAAGUUAAAGAAAACUAUUAAUCUUCAAAAUUAAAAUUAAACAACUUGUUUAAGUCUUG
rnacentral:tRNA from 1 species